AAUAAGGUUGAUUGGCCAAGCAGCAGUGGCCUGCUUGACAUAUACGGAUGAGUGCGUAUGACGAUGGACAUUGUCCAGUUCUGGCAGACCUUGUGCUUGUUUUCUUUGGGAAUCUUGCGCAUGUGUGUGGGUAUAGCUAUAGAGUUCCCUAAUAAGGACCCUUUAUAUGUAGCACUGGGCCGAACUCUGGUAUUGGAAGCACAGUUUCAACUAAAACAAAAUGAAAGGAUAUCACUGCGUACGUGGGAGCAUAAGAACAGCGAAGGGGAGGUCAGAGUUGCAGAUGGAGAUAAAACAUACAACAACAGAACAUCAGUGGAGAAGAAUGGAGCACUGUUGAGGAUUAAAGGAGUUGUAAAAAACGAUAUUGGACUCUACAAGGUUACAGUCACGACAUCAAACGGAGACCAAGUGUCUGCUGCUCGUCAAGUGCUGGAAAUAACAAAUCCUCCAAAAGCUUCUCUUUCCAUGCAAUGUAGUGUCUCGACUGAGGGAGCACAAUGGGACAGUCCUAGCUUUUUAUGGAUAGUGGAUGGGGUUAGCAUCACCAAUAAGAAUGAGACAUCUGAAGAUGGCAGCGUGCUACGUUCGAAAACACUAGGCCAAAACUACACAUGCAUCACUGACAGCAGUCACGGGACAAGCCAAGCGGAAUUGUACAGAGACUUUCGAAAAUUGGCACUAGCAAACCGUAGUAUAACGCUGAGCAACUAACAUUACAGUAAACGAUUGCAACACAGUGCUUUCUAGGAAAUGAGGUAUCUUAACACGAACAUCUAGGUUGCGAAUAAAAAGAACCCAGUGCACAAACAGCACUAGACUCAUGCCAGAGAGGUUCCUGUACUGCACUGAUCAUCUGUCUCGUCAUAGAAACCAUUAUUUUGGUCCUUAUGAUCGGGUACUGGGUAUAUAUGAGUAAGAAGAGCACUCCCACUGAAAGUGCAAGAAGAGAUCAGACACUGUGACCUCAUCUGAAAGAACCCCACUACAAAUACUACAAAUACAAACACUGCAUAAGAUCACUAAGUUCUUUUUUUUUCAUGUCAAUGUAUCUAUUUAUUGAGAAAUGGAUAUAUGUAAGUUAUAUUUAUUUACCGUGUAGAAAUGUAAUAUAUAUUGUUAUAUUGUGUGUGUGUGUGUGUGUGUGUGUGUGUGUGUGUGUGUGUGUGUGUGUGUGUGUGUGUGUGUGUGUGUUUACUAUGUGUGUUUUAAUGGAACACCUUUCAAAUUAUUUCCGGCUUAUCUACAGGACAAAGGAGUAAAGAAAAAAGCAGACACCAAGCUUGUGCUGGAAAAGGAAAAGGAAAAUAAAGUGCAGUACACUUUAUUCUAGUUUUGAGCACUAGAAUGUUUUUUUAGCACUUUACAAUGUCAGAGAUAGAAUUAAUUUUUUAAUAAAUGAAGAAAUUUUGAUUGA